CAACUUUCAACAACGGAUCUCUUGGCUCUCGCAUCGAUGAAGAACGCAGCGAAAUGCGAUAAGUAAUGUGAAUUGCAGAAUUCAGUGAAUCAUCGAAUCUUUGAACGCACCUUGCGCCCCUUGGUAUUCCGAGGGGCACGCCUGUUGCAGUGUCGUGAAAUUCUCAACUCAAUCCUCUUGUCAUGAGAGGGCUGGGCUUGGACUUGGAGGUCUUGCCGGUGCUCCCUCGGGAAGUCGGCUCCUCUUGAAUGCAUG
rnacentral:rRNA from 1 species